rnacentral:misc_RNA from 1 species
UUUUUUUUUUUUUUUCUCGCAUGCAUCAUAAAUGCAUUACAAGGCUCUAUGGGCAUCAGCGAGAACACCGACAGACAGGCUUUGCAGGUUUGCUAGAAGCCAAUUACAAGGAAGCUUUCCCUGGAAGCUCAAUUUGGUUAGACAAUCGACAGCUUUAUUUGCAGAUCUUUCCACAAGAGAAAUCAGAAUAUAAUAGAAGGAAGAUUUAUGAGAAUUAAUAGCUGCAACAGUAGCAAUCAACAGCACUGUUG